rnacentral:rRNA from 1 species
GAUGAACGCUGGCGGCGUGCUUAACACAUGCAAGUCGAACGGUGAAGGCGGAGCUUGCUCUGCUGGAUCAGUGGCGAACGGGUGAGUAACACGUGAGCAAUCUGCCCCUGACUCUGGGAUAAGCGCUGGAAACGGCGUCUAAUACUGGAUACGAGCUGCGAAGGCAUCUUCAGCAGCUGGAAAGAACUUCGGUCAGGGAUGAGCUCGCGGCCUAUCAGCUUGUUGGUGAGGUAACGGCUCACCAAGGCGUCGACGGGUAGCCGGCCUGAGAGGGUGACCGGCCACACUGGGACUGAGACACGGCCCAGACUCCUACGGGAGGCAGCAGUGGGGAAUAUUGCACAAUGGGCGAAAGCCUGAUGCAGCAACGCCGCGUGAGGGACGACGGCCUUCGGGUUGUAAACCUCUUUCAGUAGGGAAGAAGCGAAAGUGACGGUACCUGCAGAAGAAGCACCGGCUAACUACGUG